UUAAAUUAAAGAAAAGUUAUUGAUUUGAAAUUUUUAAUUAUUAGNAUAAAUUACCUUAGGGAUAACAGCGUAAUAUUUUUUUAUAGAUCUUAUAGAAAAAAAUGAUUGCGACCUCGAUGUUGAAUUAAGAUAAGUUUUAAAUGUAGAAGUUUAAUAAUUAAGUCUGUUCGACUUUUAAAAUCUUACAUG
rnacentral:rRNA from 1 species